GAUUUAUAAAGAAGUGGCGAGAGACAGGCUCUAUGACCCGCUGGCAACCAUCAAGAGAUUGAACGGUGCUAAUUCCUGUCCCAAUUAAGGGAAAAUAUAAAUA
rnacentral:ncRNA from 2 species